GGAUAAGAUAUAUGUAUAAGAUGUACAUGUAUAAGAUAUUGUUUGUGCUUACAUCUUCUGUGCGCAUUGCGGUAAGAAAAUGUCCUAAAAUUACAACACAUGCAUAGGUACGUAGAAUUAUGUAAAGUGCUGCCUUGCUAAUCGACCGAAAUUUUGUUUUGCUAAUUGGCAAUCUCUACUAUUUAUUAAAAAUUCCUUCCUGAAGCGGUGCUCCGACGUUUUACAUACGUAUAUAACGUGUUUCUUUAAUUUCAUUUUGUUUGAGUCCCGAUAUUUGAAUUAGAUUUAACUUUUUUCCCCGUGAAUUUUAUAUGUUAACAUA